rnacentral:tRNA from 1 species
GAAGUAUUAGUAAAACAAUUACAUAACUUUGUCGAAGUUAAAUCAUAGGUUUGAAUCCUAUAUACUUCU